rnacentral:rRNA from 1 species
CCGCAAGGUUAAAACUCAAAGAAAUUGACGGGGGCCCGCACAAGCGGUGGAGCAUGUGGUUUAAUUCGAUGCAACGCGAAAAACCUUACCUACCCUUGACAUCCUCGGAACUUGUCAGAGAUGAUUUGGUGCCUUCGGGAAUCGAGUGACAGGUGCUGCAUGGCUGUCGUCAGCUCGUGUCGUGAGAUGUUGGGUUAAGUCCCGUAACGAGCGCAACCCUCGUCCUUAGUUGCCAGCGAGUCAAGUCGGGAACUCUAAGGAGACUGCCGGUGAUAAACCGGAGGAAGGUGGGGAUGAUGUCAAGUCAUCAUGGCCCUUACGGGUAGGGCUACACACGUGCUACAAUGGGCAGUACAAAGGGUUGCCAAGCCGCGAGGUGGAGCUAAUCCCAGAAAACUGCUCGUA